UACGAAGGGGGCUAGCGUUGUUCGGAAUCACUGGGCGUAAAGCGCACGUAGGCGGAUUCUUAAGUCAGGGGUGAAAUCCCGAGGCUCAACCUCGGAACCGCCUUUGAUACUGGGGAUCUCGAGUCCGGGAGAGGUGAGUGGAAUUGCGAGUGUAGAGGUGAAAUUCGUAGAUAUUCGCAAGAACACCAGUGGCGAAGGCGGCUCACUGGCCCGGAACUGACGCUGAGGUGCGAAAGCGUGGGGAGCAAACAGG
rnacentral:rRNA from 1 species